GUUUUCUUAUAUCUGUAAAUGUUUCUGGUUUUUUUUUGUUAGACCUCCACCAGUAAAUUUCCAACAUUUAAUAAUAUCUUUAUAAAAAUCUGGGAUAUUUUCAAUGCUUUCGUCUGUCUUAUCCCCACUGUUUGUUUGAAACACUAACCAGUUUGACCCAAAAUUAUAAAAAUAGUGUUGAGGUAUAAUUGUCCACCCUCCUUCACAAUCAUUUACUAGUCUUUUUACCCACAUAGCUUUUAAAGUAGUGAAAUAACUUCUGAUAUCUAUCAUAUUCAAUCCCCCCUUUUCAUAUGGACCAAUAAUUGAAUUUCUUUUUACUUCAUCUGGUUUAUUAUCCAAAACAAAUUUAAAACAACUUUUUUCUAUUUCUUUUAAAAC
rnacentral:lncRNA from 1 species